GAUGAACGCUGGCGGCGUGCCUAAUACAUGCAAGUCGAGCGAACGGACGAGAAGCUUGCUUUUCUGAUGUUAGCGGCGGACGGGUGAGUAACACGUGGAUAACCUACCUAUAAGACUGGGAUAACUUCGGGAAACCGGAGCUAAUACCGGAUAAUAUUUUGAACCGCAUGGUUCAAAAGUGAAAGACGGUCUUGCUGUCACUUAUAGAUGGAUCCGCGCUGCAUUAGCUAGUUGGUAAGGUAACGGCUUACCAAGGCAACGAUGCAUAGCCGACCUGAGAGGGUGAUCGGCCACACUGGAACUGAGACACGGUCCAGACUCCUACGGGAGGCAGCAGUAGGGAAUCUUCCGCAAUGGGCGAAAGCCGGACGGAGCAACGCCGCGUGAGUGAUGAAGGUCUUCGGAUCGUAAAACUCUGUUAUUAGGGAAGAACAUAUGUGUAAGUAACUGUGCACAUCUUGACGGUACCUAAUCAGAAAGCCACGGCUAACUACGUG
rnacentral:rRNA from 1 species